UGGGUGCAGUGGUUCAUGCCUGUAAUCCCAGCACUUUGGGAGGCCGAGACCAGCGUGACUAACAUGGAGAAACCCCAUCUCUACCAAAAAUACAAAAAAUUAGCUGGGCGUGGUGGUACAUGCCUGUAAUCCCAGCUACUUGGGAGGCUGAGGCAGGAGAAUCCC